rnacentral:rRNA from 1 species
CGUGUCGAAUAUGGGCGUAAAGGGCUCGUAGGCGGCUGGUCGCGUCUGUCGUGAAAUCCUCUGGCUCAACUGGGGGCUUGCGGUGGGUACGGGCUGGCUUGAGUGCGGUAGGAGAGAUUGGAACUCCUGGUGUAGCGGUGGAAUGCGCAGAUAUCAGGAAGAACACCGAUGGCGAAGGCAGGUCUCUGGGCCGUCACUGACGCUGAUGAGCGAGAGCGUGGGGAGCGAACAGGAUUAGAUACCCUGGUAGUCCACGCCGUAAACGUUGGGCACUAGGUGUGGGGUUUGUCUUUAUGGCUGGUUCCGCGCCGUAGCUAACGCAUUAAGUGCCCCGCCUGGGGAGUACGGCCGCAAGGCUAAAACUCAAAGGAAUUGACGGGGCCCCGCACAAGCGGCGGAGCAUGCGGAUUAAUUCGAUGCAACGCGAAGAACCUUACCAAGGCUUGAAAUGCGAGGAAAUCCGGUGGAGACAUCGGGUCGGUUUUGUCCGGUCUCGUGCAGGUGGUGCAUGGUUGUCGUCAGCUCGUGUCGUGAGAUGUUGGGUUAAGUCCCGCAACGAGCGCAACCCUUGUCUUAUGUUGCCAGCGGUUCGGCCGGGGACUCAUGAGAGACUGCCGGGGUUAACUCGGAGGAAGGUGGGGAUGACGUCAAAUCAUCAUGCCCCUUAUGUCUUGGGCUUCACGCAUGCUACAAUGGCCGGUACAGCGGGUUGCGAUGUCGUAAGGCGGAGCGAAUCCCUGAAAGCCGGUCUCAGUUCGGAUUGGGGUCUGCAACUCGACCCCAUGAAGUCGGAAUCGCUAGUAAUCGCGGAUCAGCAACGCCGCGGUGAAUGCGUUCCCGGGGCUUGUACACACCGCCCGUCACGUCAUGAAAGUCGGCAACACCCGAAGCCCGCGGCCUAACCUUUUGGGGGGAGCGGUCGA